AAAGAAGCGACGGUUCUACGUGUCUUACACACAUUUUGUGUGUGGCGGAGACGAAGGCUGGCUUAUCAUCAUCGAAGCAUUUUACAUGUGUCAUUGGGAAAUACCAUAUAUAUAUCCCCGAUUCAUAUACUCUAACGCACCUUCGAAAGCCGCAUGGCUACUCGGUAAGUAUUUCGUUGUCUUUUAUCUUUUAUCUGUGUAAGUGUGGCUUCGUGGUGGUGGUGGUGGUAGUAGUAGUAGUAGUAGUAGUGCUGGUGCUACUGCUGUUGUUGCUAUUUUUUAUGUUUAUUGUUUGUUUUUAUUCCUGUUUCUCAUGUUACUCUUUCCAGGUUACGGAUCAGCAGAUACCCUGGCCAUAUUCAUCCGCUUGAUACAGAAAUAACCAAAACAUAUGCAGGCAUUAUUAGUAUUGCUGCUGCUAUAUCUAUCUAUAUGAGCAUCUAUGACCAUCUAUAUACCUAUACUAUAUCUAUACUGUAUGACCAUCACCGCUGACCCACACUCCAUGUACCCCACUCAAUAAAAGUCUGUUC
rnacentral:lncRNA from 1 species